CAGCUUUUUCCUGAGCAGUGAAAAGUUGACACCACGCGUCCAAUGCACCAACCGUUACUGUUGCCACCUGAGGAAUGGACCCCUAACUCGUAUUUCUGGGAGCUGACAUUCACUAGACCCCUGGGACCACAGACAGCAUAGAUACCCCUUUAAACCCAUGCAAGAGCACGUAGGGCAGCUAGUCCGCAGGGCUCUGCGCACAGCGAGCGAGCCUGCCGUAAAGCCCAGCUCCCAGCUUCCCCCUGGAAGGGGUUAGACUGCACGUCUCAAGUCCCAACUCCUCCGACUGCUGCCGGAGGGUCUGGUUUCCAACUCUCCUACCUUUGGCGGCACACAGUGUCCUCUGGAAGCUCGGCCAGUGACUGGCUGGUGAGACUCCAUGACCUCGCCACCCACAGCUCGUUUUCUGUGGUGAGUGGUGGGAGUCGCGGACACGCGAGGUAGGUGGGGCGUGUGGGCACUUCCGGUGACUCCCACCUCAGUCCUCCACCGGUUCUUCCAGGGAUAGCAAACAAACCCUUUAGCUUCUACCCUGGAAGGAAUUGGACUACGUUUCCAGUGCCCUCACUUUUCCGCAGCUAUCCGAAAGGCUGGGCUGCUCCCUAUGUCUAGGAAGUCCUGCGUCCGGGCCUGUGCUAGUCCCUCUGGUCUCCGGUAAACGAAGCGCGCUUUUAAAUGCCUCUGGAGGCCUACUGUGACUCCGGUCCUAUCACGCCCCUGCAAUAACACCCAUCUCCUGGCCUCUCCCUACAAGGAGUUAGACUGCACAUCCAGUACCCCACCUUUUCCAGCUGCCUCCCCGGGAGGUCUGGCUCCCACCUGGCUUGUCUCUGGCAGGUAAUCACUGGUCUCCAGGGAAUUGGAAAUGGUGGGUGAGCACUUCCUGCAGCACCCCUCCUGGCCCCUUACUCCAGAGAUGGAACCAAGCCUUCCGUUAAGGCACCUGUCUCCGAGAGCUCCUGGGGCCUGCCAUUCACUUGUCCCCCGGGAGUGACAGGAGAGCACAACAGCGGUGCGAAGUGGUGUUGAAGGAUCCUUUACCUCAAAACCCGGGUUCCUUGUCUCCUGGCUUUGAAGAAUAAAGUGGACACAAAAUGAACAGCAGACAAACGUUUAGAGUAUAAUAUUAGGAAGAACUGUAUGAAAGCUCUCUUCAGAGGGCGGACAUUAUAAGAUGAGGAAAUGAGUCAGAGUGAAAUCAGAUGACUUUCUUAGGUCACAAAACUUAGUAAGAAAUGAAGCAAGGAUUUAAAUCUGAGCAGCCUUGUUUGGAGUCCACUGGGCUUUUUUGGAACUUUUGGUGACAUAUGAUAAGCAACAGUAACUCAAACUACAUAUUAUUACUCACAUAAGAGUAUGGAAAACUUGUCAUAUGAAUAUAAGACUCCAAAGAGAAAAAAUAUAAUAUUGUCUUGGAAGUAGAAUGACAACAUACCAAGCAGGGGUAAUAUUUUUGACAAGAUCCAGACAAACGAAGAGGAAAAAGAUUCGAUUUUCUGUAGUUGACUUAUCUGCUUCAUAUAUCCAGUAGCUUUAAGGGUAAAGAUUUUGAGGUUCAGUUUCUCAGAAUGUUCAGGUGGUCUCAGAACCAACCAACUGGAAUCACAUCAAAGGAGAAGUCAUGUAUAAAAGACUACAGAGCAGAGGACUCUUCAGCAAUUGAACUCCUGUAGACAACAGAUGGCAGAUAAUCACUCGAACAGCCUCCAAUUUUGUCAGUAAAAGAAAAGUGAUCGUCCACCUCUCUCCUACAGUAAGUAGCUGAGGAUAUUUCCAUUGAGACCAUUACAAUAAGAAGACUGAAGGUCUGAGAUCAGAAAGAAGACCGCUUCAAGCAGAGAGAAUACUUGGGUUUCAAGUGACUUGCCGUAAUACCUUCAAGCAACUCUGACAAAACAGCCCAGUAGAACCCUUUAGUGAGGGAAUUGUCCUAGGUUAAGAAAAUCAAACAAAAGGAGACUAAAUAAUUUGCUGAAGAUCAAACAGAAAGUGGAUUCGGAACCCAGGUAAUUUGAUUCCUUUUGAGCUAUCCAAAAGGCCUGCAUAUAAUAAUGAUCAAUAAAGAUUUAGAUUUAAAAAACAAAACAAAUGCUAUUAUGAGACUCCUUUUUUUGAGGAAAAAUUGCAGACCUUCUUUGGUCCAAUAAUUGCUAAUGAGUGUGUCAUUUUUAUGAGCGUAUGAAUAUACUUAAGCCUUCAAAGACUCUCACUUCGGCAAGCUGUUGAACACUAAAUGGAUGUGAAUAGCUAGAGGGAAGUAUUCUCUGCAUAAUAGGAGUGACUUAUUUCUAUUAAAGAAAACCACAUGUGACUUGUGUAAGACGUGGCACUUCUGCCAUAUGAUUUACAACGUAUCUAUUUCUUUAACUCUUCCUGCAUGUUUUUGACUUAAAUUGCCCUUGCCUUUUAGUUGAGAUUCAACAUUUGAAAUAUGAAAUAAGAAGUGUUAUUUCCAUCUAAUUCUUAAAAAUUUGGCUUCCAUCUCGACAGGCACCUGAUUUGGAGAAAAGUAGAGGCUCUAGCCAGCUGGAAAGAAUGAGAAAGUUAAAAAAGAGUCAAGGUUUCUAAGAAUAUAGGUCUCUCCCCAUUUAAACAGUUCCAAACCACACUCACUUAUAAUCAUAGACCAAAAAAGUCUUGACUUUUUCUCUAUAGAGCCUUUUAAAUCAUCUAUGGCAGGCCAAGGGCUACAGCUCCAGGCAGCCACAUGGUCAGAAUCUCUGUUCUCAUGUCUGUGACUAUAAGAAAAGUCUGUAAACCAAUUUCCAGACUGUGUUAAAAGUAGUUUAACUGUCAAAAGAAAAAAAAAGGUGCCUUUGAUGUUCAAUAUUUGAAAUUAAACAUUUGGUUUGUAUAUGUGUCCUUUUAAGGAUUAUUAAACUAUAACUAGUCACUUAUACUUGAGUCUCACAUUGUUACAGCUAACUAACAAUUAUAUUACUUCUCAGCUGACUCCAGUAUUAAGCUUACAAGUGCCAGUUACAAUUAAAAAGAAUUUUUUUGAAAAAAAUUCACCACAGAUUAUUCACAAAACUGAAUGCAUUUACUUUGUGGAGUUCCCUACAGGUAAACUAACCUAAGCUAAGCAGGUAUGGUUUUUCUAAACACUGCUCUCAGAUUAUUUUUUUUUCUCAAAUAAUAACAGCUUUAAAAAAAGAGUUUUACAUUAUUUUCUGCUGUAUAGCUGUUAUAACAUAUGAGGAAGAAUAGUAGUUUGAGUGACUCCGUUCUAGGAAAGCAUAUAUUUAUUUUCUACAAUAUAAGAAUUUCUUUACUGUCAUGAUUACUUCUUCCAUUAAUACUGGUCAAGGCAAAUAUGCCAACAUCUAGACAUAAAAUUUUUAGUAUUUGAAUAAAUUUGAGACCAAUUAACUUGGUCUAUCCCAGCACACGAAAUGAGUUCAUGAAAACAGCCUGUUUGCUGUAUUGCAGACCAACUGCUGGAGAACAUUCAUCAGUCUCUAAGGAGAAGUUUCUAUUUCCACAGGACUGUUCCUACAGAUUACUAUUAAGUGGCGGCAAUAAGGAUGUUUUGGGGUUAUUUUCCAUCUCUAUCAGUUCCCCUGGGUCACCCCAUAUAAAUACCAAAUUGAAGCACAUUGUGCUCGCUAUUCAAAAUAUCUUCAAAACAAGUCCCCUACAGUCCCCUUCCAAUUAGACUGACCCUCUUAAGUUCCUCUUAAAUGGAAAUUCUGAAGCUACUAUUGGUGGUUAUUCCUUCUAUUUUGAAACAGUUUAAUCAAAAUAAAUUUCUAGGGAAGCAAUUGUCUUGUUCUCAUACUCUAAAAGUUUGCCAAUAGAGUCCUGUUUAUGCUGGCUAAGUAACAACAGUUACUUGUUUUCUUUUCCACUCUAUUAAAUUAGGUAAAAUGUCUCUAAUUUUGUGGAAUAGUGGUAAACUUUGAAUAUAACCUAAAAAUUUGCUUCAAGAGUUAUCUUGACAGCAUCAUUUCUAAAUUGAUCAAAGUAUUCAAUACUGAUAUAUAGAUUUUGAUUAGCAAUCAGACUUCUUAUCAAAGCCCAAAUGUAUUAAAUUUUUAAAAAACAAAUUUCAUAAAAAUUAUAUAAAAAUGUUUGUUUAAAAUAACCUGGAUGAUAUUAGCAUCCACGUUUUUGUAAUUAAUAAAUUUGAAAGGGAACAAUGAAAAAGAAUAAUCUUUAGUUAUUUAGAAGGUACAAGGUGGUUACAUAUUUCAUCCAGAGAAUGAUUCACAUUUUAUAGGAAUAUGAUGUUCAUUUUGGCUUAUAGACUUUUUCCUUUAUAAUUCAAUUGGACCAAAUUUUUCUCUUAUGGAGUAUAUAAAGAAAGUAUAUUUGUCAAUACAUUUCAAGAAUUCACAUAUAUUAGUGCUUAUUAUUUGAUUUAAUGGGGAGACACAUACUGCUAAAUGCUCUUAACUAUAUUAUCUAUUAGCCUGCAAAUGUAGAAAGAUAUCCAAGCAAGAGUCCUUCUUUUAAAGCUUAUUUAGGAAGUAAUUUCAUGAAGCACCUGGGUGACUCAGUCACUUAAGCUUCUGACUUCAGCUAAGGUCAUGAUCUUACAGUUGGUUUGU